GCUCAGUUGGUAGAGCGCAACCUUGCCAAGGUUGAGGUCACGAGUUCGAACCUCGUGUGUCGCUCCA
rnacentral:tRNA from 6 species